GAGCCCACGGAGCAGCUGGAGACCGGCCACCCCGAGGAUGGCAGGGCCGGGCUCUCCGGGGAGGACGGCGGGGCCGAGGACGUGCUGGGCAUGAAUGGGGCUCUUCCUCGGUCUCACCUGCCUGUGUCCCCAUCCUGCCCCUGACACCGGCACUCGGAUUUCCCUGCCUCCUCUCGCAAGACCUUUCUGGUGAUGCUUUAACCUGGAGGUUGACACGCGCCUUCCCUCUAGGAGGGGCGUAUGGCUCUCCUUCCGCAGCCUGGUGUCUCCGUAGACGAGAGGUAGAAUGGGGAGUUUAAGGAACUUCGGUUUCUCAGCUAAGUUCCUGAAUCCCAGGGAAGGCACGAGGCUGUAAGAACUUGGUCAAACGAGCAUGAGGAAGUUCCCGAGACUUAAAUCUUCCCCCCAGAGUCGCAGACCUUCCGCUUCUCUAUCCCCUGCUUCCUUCGAGCCCCUCCGGGUCCCCUCCCGUGCCCACUUGUCCAGCGGCUGUGACCACACAGUGCAGGGCCGUGUCGUCCUCGGCAACCUCACUUAUCUCCGAAACAGCCAUCAAAGCAGGACUCCGAGGAGAAGCUGGUUCUCUGCUCAGGUGUGUCUAACUUGGGCAGAUCGACACCUUCCUUCCUGAGCACACUUGGAUCCUCACACACGAAGAUUUCCUUGUUAUGCCCAACAGACAGCAUCUUUUCUGUCUGAAGUCUGUUUUGUAAGCCACAAAAACCUGUGUGACGUUACAGCGGACAGACUGAACCAAGUGUCGCGAUCUGCUCUGGGGAAAAUGUUGCCUCCGUCAGCUGAUGAAGAAAUAAUACUGAAGCGCGCAGGCCGCAGAAGUCACAGUGCUACUGUCAUAGGACAAGGACAGUCCUCUAAACGUGGCCCUUCUUCCAGGUGACCCUCAAUGUUUAUGACCUUUAGAAAUAAGCAGAAAGAAAAAAGAAAGAAGCAGAGGCCCAGCACCCAAACCCACGUAUCCCACCAGCAUCUCACUGGGAAAACCUGCCUCCCUGAAUGAGCAGUCCUUACUAACAUGGGGAUCCUCUCCUUGCGAAUGCAGGGAUCCAGUCCUUGCAAACUCAGAGAUCCAGUCCCUACACACUUGGAUCCAGUCCUUGCAAACUCAGGGAUCCAGUCUUUAUGAACUCAGGGAUUCAGUCCUUACAAACUCAAGGACCCAGUCCUUGUAAACUCAGGGAUCCAGUCUUUGGAAACUCAGGGAUCCAGUCCUUGCAAACUCAGGGAUCCAGUCUUUAUGAACUCAGGGAUUCAGUCCUUACAAACUCAAGGACCCAGUCCUUGUAAACUCAGGGAUCCAGUCUUUGGAAACUCAGGGAUCCAGUCCUUGCAAACUCAGGGAUCCAGUCUUUAUGAACUCAGGGAUUCAGUCCUUACAAACUCAAGGGUCCAGUCCUUGCAAACUCAGAGAUCCAGUCCCUACAAACUCAGGGAUCCAGUCCUUGCAAACUCAGGAUCCAGUCCUUGCAAACUCAGGAUCCAGUCUUUACAAACUCAGGGAAGGGAUCCAGUCCCUACAAACUCAAGGAUCCAGUCCUUGCAAACUCGGGAUUCAGUCCUUGCAAACUCAGGGAUCCAGUCCCUGCAAACUCAGGGAUCCAAUCUCUGCAAACUGAGGGAUCCGGUCCAGCAGGUGGUCUCCUCAGCACAGUCACCACAGACAGCCUGGCUGGGAGCUGAGCACAGGCAUCCAGGGCCAUGUGCUUUCUUUCCUUUCGUGCAGCCCGAGGCAGGGGUUUUAAGUAGCCGCACUUGUCGUGUCCUUUGGCUUUAAAGCCAUGGUGUUUCCUGGGGUCACUGCUAUGGCUUGUCGUGCUGCUUUCCACGUGGGCUUUGUUUUGGGGCCUCAGUACAGGAUGUUAUUGGAUCUCUGUUGCAUUUUCU